CCUACGGGAGACAGCAGUGAGGAAUAUUGGUCAAUGGUCGGGAGACUGAACCAGCCAAGCCGCGUGAGGGAUGAAGGUACAGAGUAUCGUAAACCUCUUUUGUCAGGGAACAAAGGCGGGGACGCGUCCCCGGAUGAGUGUACCUGAAGAAAAAGCAUCGGCUAACUCCGUGCCAGCAGCCGCGGUACUACGGAGGAUGCGAGCUUUAUCCGGAUUUAUUGGGUUAAAAGGGUGCGCAGGCGGUCUGUUAAGUCAGCGGUCAAAGCCCGGGGCUCAACCCCGGCCCGCCGUUGAAACUGGCAGUCGCGAGUUGGAGAGAAGUAUGCGGAAUGCGCGGUGUAGCGGUGAAAUGCAUAGAUAUCGCGCAGAACUCCGAUUGCGAAGGCAGCAUGCCGGCUCCACACUGACGCUGAGGCACGAAAGCGUGGGUAUCGAACAGGAUUAGAUACCCGUGUAGUC
rnacentral:rRNA from 1 species